UUCCUGAAGUUUACUUGGAAUCUCUUUUCUUGUAACUUGAAGCCAUUGGUUCAAGUCCUACCCUCCAAAGCAGAAGAAAACAAGAUUGCUUCCUCUUCCAUGUGACAGCCCUUAAGAUAUUUGAAGAUGGCUAUCAUAUGUUCUCUCAGGCUCCUCUUUUCCAGGCUAAACAUACCCAGCUCCUUCAAGC
rnacentral:sRNA from 1 species